CUGUCCUUCCAAAAUUUAGGAACCAACCUUGGAACAUCUCACUCAUGUCGAAAAUAACCCAAAUCCAUCAAAAAAUCCGAUGAAAGUUAGGAAGUGCCAGAGGAAUCAUCUGUCAUACAAAAAUUUAGGAACCAACCUUGGAACACCUCACUCAUGUCGAAAAUAACCCAAAUCCAUCAAAAAAUCUUAUAGAAAUGGAAGUUGGGAAGUACCAGAGGAAUUAUCUGCCAUCCCAAAAUUUAGGAACCAACCUUAAAACACCCCACUCAUGUCGAAAAUAACCGAAAUCCAU